UGUUUCGGCUAGGGGGCCAUCCCGGCUUACCAACCCGAUGCAAACUGCGAAUACCGGAGAAUGUUAUCACGGGAGACACACGGCGGGUGCUAACGUCCGUCGUGAAGAGGGAAACAACCCAGACCGCCAGCUAAGGUCCCAAAGUCAUGGUUAAGUGGGAAACGAUGUGGGAAGGCCCAGACAGCCAGGAUGUUGGCUUAGAAGCAGCCAUCAUUUAAAGAAAGCGUAAUAGCUCACUGGUCGAGUCGGCCUGCGCGGAAGAUGUAACGGGGCUAAACCAUGCACCGAAGCUGCGGCAGC
rnacentral:rRNA from 1 species